rnacentral:rRNA from 1 species
CCGGGAGAUAGCUGGUUCUCCCCGAAAGCUAUUUAGGUAGCGCCUCGUGAAUUCAUCUCCGGGGGUAGAGCACUGUUUCGGCAAGGGGGUCAUCCCGACUUACCAACCCGAUGCAAACUGCGAAUACCGGAGAAUGUUAUCACGGGAGACACACGGCGGGUGCUAACGUCCGUCGUGAAGAGGGAAACAACCCAGACCGCCAGCUAAGGUCCCAAAGUCAUGGUUAAGUGGGAAACGAUGUGGGAAGGCCCAGACAGCCAGGAUGUUGGCUUAGAAGCAGCCAUCAUUUAAAGAAAGCGUAAUAGCUCACUGGUCGAGUCGGCCUGCGCGGAAGAUGUAACGGGGCUAAACCAUGCACCGAAGCUGCGGCAGCGACGCUUAUGCGUUGUUGGGUA